rnacentral:rRNA from 1 species
UUCGAUGUUCUGGGCUGCACGUGUGCUACAAUGAUAGUGACAACGAGUGCCUGCCCUGAGAGGGGUGGGAAAUCUUAAAAAUCGCUGUCUUGCUUUGGACUGAGCCUUGUAAUAAUUGCUCACGAAAGAGGAAUUCCUCGUAAGCGCGAGUCAUCAGCUCGUGUUGAAUAAGUCUCUGCCCUUUGUACACACCGCCCGUCGCUACUACCGACUGGAUGUUGCUUCGAAAAGUUUGGACUUGCGACGUCUUGACGUUGUGGGGAAAAGCGUUGAGAUGUAAUAUCUGGAGGAAGUAAAAGUCGUAACAAGGUUUCCGUAGGUGAACCUGCGGAAGGAUCAU